CCAAACACGGAAUAAAUGACCGAAAUGGAAUUCACUUCAAUGCUCUGCACUAGCGAGAAAAAAAGGGGGAAAAAAGAAUUAUCGGUAAUUUACGAAUAAUAUUUUCAAUUUUCCUAGUAAAACAUGCAAGACAAUUCUGUACAUGUUUCUAGUAUUCUGGUCUCGUCAGUGAAUUCGAGCGUUUGUUCACUAUUGUCUCCUGUAGUUGACAGGAAAACGGAAAGUAUAUUAAAUAUCGUUUGCCUUCACAUAUCUCUUUCUAAUUUUGCUUUUUAACACUACCUUACAAAAAAAAAAAAAAAAGAAUGUAUAUACGUGUCUAUGAUAACAGAAAUUUAAUAGAUAACUCGCGCACCUUAUCGAUGACACAGCACUUCAACUGAAGUUGAACUUUCAAUUGAGAGCUUUUCUUUUCAUUCCAUGCAGGUGUUCCAUACUUUGACAAACCUAUCACUUUUCAAACUUGUAAAGUGCUACAAUUUUAUACGAAACAGCGGCCAGAAACCGAUCUCUGUGAGUGUAUAUUUCGCCUAAGCCUGAUUCUCUAUUUCGAUGUGGAACUGCGUAACAGAUUUACUGGAAGCUCGCAGAAGAAGAACAACCGAGGUCGAUAGAUCAUACUUGACGAUACAAACCACAGAUAUUGAUUGAUCGAUCAUAAAGAACAACUGAGUUGGUGCGCGGAAGAAAACAAAUUCGGAUUUAAAAAAAAAAGAAACGAA